CUAAAAUUCGCCAGGUCUUUAAUUUCAACUAAGUGAGUUGACUAAAUUAAUGUUGCGGACCAUUUUCCAAUUUCCAUGCGGUAUCCCUAUUUUUUUUUCUCGCUCAUCUUUUAUGUUUGUUUUUUUUCAUCCCAAGACCUCUUGGAGCUUUCAUUCUAUAAAGUGUGUAUUUUGCUAAUGGUCGAAGGCCAUACGGGGACCUAUAGCUUGAUAACGCCUGUUGGUCCCUGGAAAGAAUGUGUCUGAUUGUCUAUCACACUUCAUAUUCUUAUUUUAACAUGCAGUUAUAUCUAUGAUAAGAAUGAAAAUUGAAUUGUCAUUGAGACAAAAACCCAACCAAAGAGCAAAAAAAAAAAAAAAAAAAAAAAAAGCCCAAGGCAACAUGUAGAUCUUUCGUAUCAAGGGAAUUGCUAUAAAUAUAUUUAUUUCAGGUUAAUAGUAUUAGGCCAUACUCAAGUUAUAAAAUAGAUCUUGUCGUCAACUUUUGCAACCAGC
rnacentral:lncRNA from 1 species